AGCUGCUGAACACUGCCCAAGAU
rnacentral:miRNA from 1 species